UUUUGCUCCUCCUCUCAGUCGUACUCUCCUUCUCUCGACUAGCUUCAAUGGCGGACUCUGUGAUAUCAGUUGACAAGGUCAAAGCUUUCUGGCACUCUCAGGUUCAUGACGAAGAGAAAUGGAAUCUCAACAAGAAACUGCUUCGAGCUACUGCUCUAUUUGCUGGGUCCAUCAUUUUGAUGCGCCAGUAUGGGGAUCUCAUGG
rnacentral:misc_RNA from 1 species